GCCGGCGGCGCGGCCCGGCCCGGCCCGGGAGUCGGGGAGCGGGCGCCCCCAGCACCGGCCGGCGCGGCGUUUCAGGUCUUACGGCGAAAAGACAGACGCCAUUCGGGGCAGGAUGCUACUUUGCGGGAACUUUUACCAGCCAUUAUCUUUACGUCUAAUGAAACUCGGGGUUGUAUUUGACGGGCUUCGCACGGAUCCUGGGUCAGCUCCCAUCACUGCGCUCCGUGUAAACAGCAGGCGUCCUACGUUGCUCCAAAGUAGGAUUUUGGUGUUUUGGGGUUUUUUUUUUCCCAUCCUGCAUUUUAUCGACCAUAGUCACUCUUUUAUCAUCAUCGAAGCAAAGGGAAUCACUAUUAUUGGACACCGUAACCGUCAGGGAAAAAAUUUAAAGUAAGACCCAGUUCAAAAUUUGACAGCCGGAUGAUUUUUCUGCAUUGGAAGAAGAUGCUGCCUCAACAUUGCCAUGGGUUGACACUUACUGUUAUCAUUUGUCGUCUGAAAAACUUUAUGCAAUUGAAUUAUAUGAAGACCUAUAGUGCUCCUGCCAAACCAAAAAAAAAAAAAGGGAAAGCUGUAUUGUUGGAAGAGAUUUAGGUGGAUGUGUAUAAACCACUACCAUGUGGUUUAUAUUACACACGAAAAUGAGUAUCCAGAGAGCUCUUUCCAGUAGAAUAUUUUAAAAAUCCGAAAGACUGUUGCGGUGGGUUUAAUAGGUUUGGCGGCAAGUUUUCAAAUAUUUGCCGAGAUACAAAAACGUCCUGUACCUCUGCUUUUCUCCCCCGGGGGCACAUAAAUAAAAAUAAUCACUAUUCUUAAAUACUGGGUUGGAUGGGAACUGUUAUUAGCUUAAGGCACAGAAGCAAAGUGCUAUCUUUCAGGCUGGCUUAGCUACCACCCUACGGGGUGGGGAGAAGACAAGGAGAAAAUGGGUUGCAGUUCCCCAAAAUUAUCCUCAGACUCACCUGCGAGGGGCACAUUCAUCUACAUGUCCUAUACUAAGACAAUGCAUCUGUUCAUUCAAUGAGUGAACAUUUUUUGAGAUCUCCCAGCCCUCUACACAUGCUGCUAAUUAUUCAGCACCCACAGGACUCCCGGAGGAACUUACACGGUGGGAGCAGGACCCGUGGAUGGCAACUGGCACACCUGGGAAAUGCAACUUCUAAAGAAUUUCACGAGAUGUUCCUGAAGAGAUGAGAUGCAGUACGUGUUUCUUCAGCAAAUUCAACAUACAAAAAUCCAGAUAUGGACAGCUGAUAAAUUAGCUGCAUCCAUGACCAGAUGGAUCUGGUCUCUGUGAAAACAGAUAUUCAUGUUUUAUCACUGAAGAAUGUUUCUACAAAGCUGUUAAAGUUUAUAAAAAGCAAAUGGGAGCUAGCCACGUUGAGCACUGGAUACUCAGUAGGUGUUCACCUUUCCAAGAGCUCCUCUCUAGCAAAACCAGUUAAGGUAACUUCAAUCUCCUGGUCAGUGAUAGGGUUUAGGUAUGAGCACUUCCUACAAACCCGGCAAAAGAACUGUAAGAAGCAUUGUGCUGUGGGGCUCUGCGAAAGAAUUUCUUCCCUUCUAAAAAGAGGCAUAAGAGAAACUCUCCUCCCUCUGGAAACUGUAAUAUCAGGAUAUGAUGCUUGGAGCCACAGCAGCCAUCUUGUGACUAUGAUGAAAAACAUUGCUGACAUUAUGGCAAUGUAAAAGAAUGGAACCUACCAAGGAAUUUGAUAACAUUGUUGAGCUACUGAACCAAACCCAGAACUGGCUUGCCUCCUGAUUAUUAAUUUAGUUGAAAUAAUAAAUGUCCUCAUUUUUUUAACACCAUUAUCAGUAGGAUCCUAUGUUAGUAAAAAAGCAAACUGUAUGAUGUAAUACGUUUAGUAUCUUAAUUGGCUGUAUGACAAAAUAGUUUGGUGACUUUACUCUGGAGGUCAUCUUAAACCACACAUAGAGAUUUCUUAAUGAAUAGUUCCUUCCCUUCCAAUUCAUCUGUAUAUAAUAGCAGUCCUACUUUCUUGCUCCAUAUCUGACGUACGUAACUAAUUAACCAUUAGCUAAAUGUCUAAUCAUAUUACCUUUGUAAGUUAAAAUACAAAUAGUUAUUAUAAAAAUUUCUGUUAAAUAUCAUUAAAAUUAUUUCAGAUUUCAAAAUAAAAAUAAAUUUUUUAAUUCUGAUGUAAUUCUUUAACACUAUAAUUGUAUUUCCAAGCUUCAUUUCACAAUUUUUAUUGACAUUGACAUUUAUUUCAUGACAAGCAGAGCAAAAUGUACAAAAUGAGGCUUUACCACAUUAAAAUUUUUUUUUCAUUAAAUGGGCCUCACAAGGAUACACCCAAAAUUCCUACUACCAGAGUGAUCCCUGCCUCCUUUCUUCUCAAGUGAAUAAGUUAAUGUUUUAUUUCUCACUUUGCACUAGGAAUUUGCAUUAGGUAACCAGCUAUUUAUAUAGCAUCUAUUUGGGCUCUGUCUAAAAUGUGAGGGCUAUCUUCCCCUUACUGUGUCCCAAGUAAGGGUCCUUCAAUAGAAGGACAGAGGAUACUUGUUAAAUCCUAUAUAAAUAGAUUUAAAUUUUAAAAAAAGUUUUACCCCAGAGAUCUUAUUUUGCCUUUAUUCUCAGAUGAGACCCUCCCACAUCUAAGACCUUAGAUUUAAGUAUCUUUAAAAUGUUGAACCAUAUUGGACUGUAAACUCCCUGAGAGCAAGGAUCCUUGCCUCUUUGUCUGAAUGUGGUAUCCUAGCACUUUAGCAUCAUAGCACAUAAUAGGAGGAAAUCUAGAACAGACUAACCCCCCAAAAGAAAUAAAUGUUGAAUAAAUCAAAUAUAAAGGAUACUCCUUUCAUCUUUUUCUUCAAGAAAUCAUUAUCUUUGCUUUACUUUCCACUAAGAGAAAGAUUCUCCAUUUGAGAAUCUUUUUUGGAAAGAUAAAAAACAAAGUCAUAACACAAACACCCAUUUGAUCUCUUAUUUUCUUUCCCCGUCUCUUCCUUUGCAAAACAUGUGAUAAUAUGUCCAAGAAAUAACACAGGUAAGUACGCACAAAAAGAGGGUGGAAUUAGAAAUAUAUACAGUUUCAGGUCUGUAUUGAACUUGGUUUUCAGAGAGCAAAAUUUUUCACUAUUUUUCCUUCUUCUAAAAAAGUUUAUUCCAUGGUAUGUUAGAUUGGUUCUGGUUAAUACUGAUAUUUUCAGCAUUUUAUGAUGUCAUCUUAACAUCACUGUAAAUGUUUCUUCCCUUUGUUACUUCAUCCUUCCUAUUAGGCUUGCUAACCUGAAAAUUUCCCCAAUCUUUAGCAAUACU